rnacentral:lncRNA from 1 species
UUAGACACCUGCACAUUAGAUUCCUGGUUGUACAGUGGGACCCCGUCCUUGACCAAGCCGAAAGACAGACCUCUUUCGAUCCUUUGAUACCGACCAAUUGAAAGAGGUUGGAACGAUUCCUGUGUACUCUUCCCAUAAAAGCACAACAAUAAGGGGAAUAGCUCCUACUUUAGAGCUCUCGUACUUAGUGACGAGUUCGAGCCUUAGAAGCAUGCGAAGGGAUAGGUCUGAAAGAAGUCUUGUAUUAGUCCUUUAAUAGAGUCCCUAUUGUUUAAUAGGCGCUUUCCGGUAGCAGGGCGUUAAAAUAUCCAUAUCUUCUUACGUUCUGCUGCUCUUCACUAUUUCCCCGUCUCUCACUAUCAGGAUCAGUCGUCCCUAGCCCGCUCUCUGUGUUCGCGGACAGUCUUACUAUUACGCUCGUAUCUUACUCGUUUUCAAGUAUGUAACUCGUUUAUUCCGCAUGUAGCCCACGAAAAAUUGCGUCUUUUCAAAGAUCUCGGCAGUUUAGAAUGAUUCAUUCCAUCAAGAAUAGCUUAGUGAACCUUUCGAGCCAAGCACCUUUCCAAUAUCUAUGGUUAUGCUCGGGGGUCAGUUUCCUUUUUGCUGCUACUACUACUACAUCAGUCAAAUAGUUUGAAUGCCUAAUUAGAUGCGGUUUAGGCCAUUGGAUGGCAUUUCCAAGUGACAUGCUUCUUCCAAGUGAGAUGGCUUUCGAGAGGUCUAACUAAGGUACAAGGUACUCGACUCACUUUUCUUGUGCAGGUAUAGGAAGAUUCCUUAUUCCCUCCUUCUACGUAGCUUUUAUCAGGAAAAACAAAAAAGAAAAGCCCCUUCCCCUUAGUGGGUUCAUGUGCGGAUAGCUCUUUUCCGGUCUUUUUUUCUUUUCAAAAAAAAGGGGAAGCAACGCGGGCAGGCAGAACCUUUCUUCCC